UUGACCUCGGAUCAGGUAGGGAUACCCGCUGAACUUAAGCAUAUCAAUAAGCGGAGGAAAAGAAACCAACAGGGAUUGCUCUAGUAACGGCGAGUGAAGCAGCAAUAGCUCAAAUUUGAAAUUCUGCGUCUUCGACGUCCGAGUUGUAAUUUGUAGAGGAUGCUUCUGAGUAACCACCGACCUAAGUUCCUUGGAACAGGACGUCAUAGAGGGUGAGAAUCCCGUAUGCGGUCGGAAAGGUGCUCUAUACGUAGCUCCUUCGACGAGUCGAGUUGUUUGGGAAUGCAGCUCUAAAUGGGAGGUAAAUUUCUUCUAAAGCUAAAUAUUGGCCAGAGACCGAUAGCGCACAAGUAGAGUGAUCGAAAGAUGAAAAGCACUUUGGAAAGAGAGUUAAAAAGCACGUGAAAUUGUUAAAAGGGAAGGGAUUGCAACCAGACUUGCUCGCGGUGUUCCGCCGGUCUUCUGACCGGUCUACUCGCCCGUUGCAGGCCAGCAUCGUCUGGUGCCGCUGGAUAAGACUUGAGGAAUGUAGCCUCUUCGGGAGUGUUAUAGCCUCUUGUGAUGCAGCGAGGCCCGGGCGAGG
rnacentral:rRNA from 1 species